UGGCUCUCGCAUCGAUGAAGAACGCGGCGAAAUGCGAUAAGUAAUGUGAAUUGCAGAUUUCAGUGAAUCAUCGAAUCUUUGAACGCACCUUGCGCUCCUAGGUCUUCCGAGGAGCAUGCCUGUUUGAGUGCCCAGUGAUCACUCGAUCUAACAUGCUUUGUUGUAUGAUGGGUCGGAUCUGGGGGUUCUGCCGUGAACUAUCAUUGGCUCCUCCCAAAUGGAUUAGCUGUUGGCGACAAGACCACUGUAGGCUUGAUAAUCUAAUCUAUGCCGUGCUGGACCUGUCUAUGCCGUGGCUCAUAAACUGUUCACUUGUGAACAAUCUUUGACCUCGGGCCUCAAAUCAGGUAGGACUACCCGCUGA
rnacentral:misc_RNA from 1 species